GGCCUUGAAGCUCAGCUGGUAGAGCAUGCGCGUACAAAGCGUAGGCGGCGUCCUUGCAUGGGUUCGAAUCCCAUCAAGACUG
rnacentral:tRNA from 1 species